AGAGUUUGAUCCUGGCUCAGGAUGAACGCUGGCGGCGUGCUUAACACAUGCAAGUCGAACGAAGCACCUUGAUUCGAUUCUUCGGAUGAAGAUCUUGGUGACUGAGUGGCGGACGGGUGAGUAACGCGUGGGUAACCUGCCUCAUACAGGGGGAUAACAGUUAGAAAUGACUGCUAAUACCGCAUAAGACCACAGCACCGCAUGGUGCAGGGGUAAAAACUCCGGUGGUAUGAGAUGGACCCGCGUCUGAUUAGGUAGUUGGUGGGGUAACGGCCUACCAAGCCGACGAUCAGUAGCCGACCUGAGAGGGUGACCGGCCACAUUGGGACUGAGACACGGCCCAAACUCCUACGGGAGGCAGCAGUGGGGAAUAUUGCACAAUGGGGGAAACCCUGAUGCAGCGACGCCGCGUGAGCGAAGAAGUAUUUCGGUAUGUAAAGCUCUAUCAGCAGGGAAGAAGAAAUGACGGUACCUGACUAAGAAGCACCGGCUAAAUACGUGCCAGCAGCCGCGGUAAUACGUAUGGUGCAAGCGUUAUCCGGAUUUACUGGGUGUAAAGGGAGCGCAGGCGGUGCGGCAAGUCUGAUGUGAAAGCCCGGGGCUCAACCCCGGUACUGCAUUGGAAACUGUCGUACUAGAGUGUCGGAGGGGUAAGCGGAAUUCCUAGUGUAGCGGUGAAAUGCGUAGAUAUUAGGAGGAACACCAGUGGCGAAGGCGGCUUACUGGACUGUAACUGACGUUGAGGCUCGAAAGCGUGGGGAGCAAACAGGAUUAGAUACCCCGGUAGUCCAGAGAAUAAGGUAAGGU
rnacentral:rRNA from 1 species